AAUUCUUUCUUUUCAACAUUUCGUUAAAUGACUUGUGUGCAUAGUCCCAUACACCAUACACCCAUAUAGAGAAUAAAACAUACAUUUCAAUUAACUUGUGAUUUCAAUUCCAACCCAACACCAGUGAUUUCUACUCGUGUGAUCAUGGACCUCCCCCAUUGCCCUUCAUAGCUAACUCCCUCUCUGCUUAGAAGAUCGACGAAGCCUCAGCCGUUUUCCAUGGAGACCAUGCUCUCUAUCUCUUUGCUCUCAUUGAACUCAUCUCUAACACAUGCUCUCAUUGUCCACCAUCUCUUUACUCUCGCCAUUGAAGAUGUCUCCAU
rnacentral:lncRNA from 1 species